UUACACUACAAUUAUUUUAUUUGAACCGUGGAGGUGCGCUGAGACCCGGGCUGAGUGCGUGGACGUGGACGGCGGUGUGCGCUCCUCUCUGGCACCCUUUGGAUGUGUCGUUUCUCUGUCUUUAUACGCGCGCACUCGUGUCUCUGU